rnacentral:misc_RNA from 1 species
CGAGCUUUCGUAGUCGGCAUCGGCCAUCCGCGACGCGAACUUUCACCCGGUUCGGGCGGUCCCGCGCGCGUCGCGGCGCGACUUAUGAAGUUGUUGCGCGUCGUACGCGCCGAUGUACCGUGCUCGAGGCCGAGAAAAGGUGGAGACGUUCGAGCGUACGUUUUUCGCGACUCUCGACGAUCGCGAGAAUGCGGCCGCGCGACUGAAGAAAUUGUGCGACUUGACUUUGGGGCCUGAGACGUUAUAAUCUUCGGAAUCUUCGGUUUCGGGCCAGUGCAAUUUUGCGGGCGGCGAACAGAUGAGGAUUAAUUCAGUCUGGAAUUUACGUACAUAAUUCUUUGGAUUGACGCUUACGUGCACGUAUGCGUGGCAAGGACGAUGUUCUCUCCUCGAAGAUGCUGAUCGCACGGGGCGAAUUGAAGUCGCGACGCGUCUAGCGUAAGGGUUGAUUUUAUUGAAGUCCCGAUCGCGCCCACGGGCAAACGCGUGCAAGCGAAUGGAAAAACUGUUUGGGAAAACAAAAGCUGCGGACUACCAAGAGCGACGCCGCCUCUAAUUUUAAUUUCAUCGGCCGUCCGGCCGGUCUAUAAACCACGCUUUGCGUUCUCGGUUGCUCGAUCGCGCGCGAUGAAACCAGCCGGCCGGAAGAAUUUCGAUGCUGUCCCCGGAAUUGCGGCAAGCCGCUCUUAACCCGGAUAGGGCCGCGAAGGAACAAGAAGAUCGUUGGCAAGAACGCCGUCAACCGUUGAAGAAAUUAGGUGAAAAUUACAAAUCGUGGACCAGAGGGUGCGUGAACGCCGUCGAGCGAUGGAUUUUGUGUUGCUGUUCCUCGUGAUGUUGCUGAGGCAAGAGGUCGCUGCUCUGAGGCUACUCCACAUAAAUGUCCCGGCGUACACCCUCAGGGGUAGGAGCGCGCUUCUGGAAUGCAGAUACGAUCUGGAGAGAGACCAUCUCUAUGGUAUCACAUGGUACAAGGACAACGAGGUAUUCUACAAAUAUGUACUUCGAGAGAAAAUUCCUCACAUCUAUGACGUCAAUGGUGUUAAAGUUGACAGAGGUCAUUCGAAUGAUCAAAUAGUGACACUGCAGGAUGCAAGCCUCCUUGCCAGCGGCACAUACAGAUGCGAAGUUAACGCAGAGGCGCCGAGCUUCACCACAGCCUUCGCCGAGGCGAGAAUGGAGGUCAUAGCACUACCUCAAGAAAAGCCAAAGAUAAUCGGAGAGGAAAAAGUAUACGCGAGUGGUGACGUGCUCGCGCUGAAUUGCACUAGUGACAAGUCCCACCCUCCUGCGAAACUUAAAUGGUUCGUUAAUGGCCAGCAGGUGAAGCCCGAUUCGGAAUUGGUGUUCGAGCAGCACGGGCUAUACUCGACGAUAUCGAGUCUGCUACUCGAGCUGGAGCCGGGUCAUCUCGCCAGCGACAAGAUAAACGUCAGGUGCGAGGCGACGGUGCGAUCGACUCACGAGGUCUCCGAACCGUUCGUCGACGUUCGCAACACCGAGGUCUUCGUUCGAGGUCUCGCCAGUGUAAUGACACCCUCGCUAUGUUUGUUGGUGGCCGUGGUAUUACAACAGUUUCUGCUGCCCGUGUAGACUUUUCCGAAGCGAGGAGGACAUCAAAACGACUCUAAAUGCGAGAGAAAACAGGGAGGAGGCGGAUCACGAAGGAAAUGGAAGGCGAGAGACGAACAACGUUUCGUGAUGAAAGACAAUCAUAUCUUAAUACGAAGCGAACUGCGACGAGAAAUCGGGGGAUUCGCGUCAGACUUGUCGAUCGUUAUCGCAAACGGCGAACGGCAGCGCGUCCUUGCGAUUUUUGCACGUCGCUGCGUCUUCUCGUUAAACUGGAGGAGAAUCGAGCGUUCAGUCGUUCAAGGCAUCGAUCGCUCGUCGUUGCCCUCGAGAGUACAUCCCCCCAUCUCUUCGAGACACACGUAAAAUCCUAGAUAGCCUAAUUAAUCGCGGAAGAAAAUACGCGAUAACCAAGUGGACACUCAAAGUUCUCGCACGUACGAGGAACCUCCUCCUCGACGCUCGUCUAUUCUGUUAGGGAUCGAUAUUUGCAUCGUUACUCGUGAAAUAGAUUUAAAUCGGCCGCACUCGGGGGUUCGAACUCUCGAUAACGAGAAGAAACUUUUUGAACUUUCCAUCUUAAUUAUAUAAGUUGGAAAAUUAACUGAUUUUACAGCCAUAAAAUAAAAUUUGUGAAUAAAAUUUCAUUAACAAAUUUUUAUGGAUUUAACAGAAAUUGCCAAUUGGGGCCAUCGUCUGACGAAUACUGCAUAAAACUGAGACAUUGAUUUCUGCCUCUUUUGCAAGUUUAAAUCUCGUGAAUCCUUAUCUUUUACAUAUCACUUUGUUAAUAGUUCAAAGAAGUAAGAGGCGCAGUCAUUCAGAAUCAUGGAUGAGGAAUGAGAUUUUGCACCGAAGAUGGAAGGAGAAAGAAGAAGAUGACUGACAUGGUCGAUCAUCAAAUAAUACAGGCCCCGCAUUGUUUCCCAUGAAAUAAAACGUGGAAUAGUUGAAAUCAGAAUUGAGUCACUUGAACUAUUGAUGAUUAAAUAAAUAAAAAAAUGGCCGCCAUAGAAUAAUAAUUCACUCGUAAAAAUGUGAAACAUGUUUGUCGUUGUAAAAUCCGAAUCGAGAAUUUACACGGAUAGCAAACGUAAUAUUCUCUCAAAUGGCACAAUGUCGAUCGGUACGUUUAUAAAAUCGCAAUGUUUAAUGUUUUAGCGACGCUUAUAUUAAACGUAAAAAUAUUUUUCUUUAUAAAUAUAAACCUUGCGCGAUGCACCCAGGCGUGUACGUUAAUAAAUGUGCAUGCAAACUAAACAACAUAAAUAUUGCAUAGGUAUCACCGUUUUAAAUUCGAUAUAAAAGAUUUAUGCGAUAAUCCUAAAUGCGCAUUAAUAAAACAUCCCGUAUAAGAAUAAUGAUUUACUAUUAUUUUACCAUCUGAAACUUUUAACUAACUUUCAACUAACUGAAAAAAAGCGGUCAUAAAUUCUACGAGCGUCUCGUUAAAGUUUCGCUUCCUUUUUGCGAUCUUUUAUUGCCGACGCGUAGGUGCCACAAUGCCACGGAAUCGUUUUCCAGACCACGUUUUCUGCGACUUUUCUUGUCCACUAUUGCGACAACGGCUACGAAGUCCGACCGAUACACCGAUCAAUCGAUGUUAUCAGAUUUUCACAACAUUUCUGUGACCCGUAUAUCGAUAAAUUAUUUUUUAUUUUCUUCUGACUUUAAUUAUAAA